rnacentral:lncRNA from 1 species
AUGGAGGAGAACGAUGAGGACGAGCAGGAAGACGAGGAGGAGGUAGAGGAGGAGGAAUCGAAACUGAGCGAGUCACCUGGGAUAUUCCUGGGCGAGGAAGGUUCUGGUGGUUACGAAGGCUCUGCAGCUGAAGGUCCAUACAUGGCGGACAAGAGCAACCUCGGUGAGACUGGUUCUGGCAUGCUCUGGAAAGAAAGUGAAGAUAUGAGUGACCUGAGGAGGCUGUUCGCCAGCAGGCGUAUCAGCGAUGAGGUAAAACCCGAUGAUUACAAAGAAGACCACCUUCUGCAGCUGUAGACUGGACCACCACCCACUCCGAAGCACAUAAACAAGGCUGGCAUCUAAUUUAAUUCCCUGUCUGGGCUGAUAGUAAACUCCACCUGCUGGGAAAAAACAAAUGCCAUUUUUUUGUACUCUCUGUGUUAUUGUUAUUAAUUAUUUUCAGCAAGGCCAAAACAACGACUGUAAACAAUGUGAAAAUAAUUGUGCCAGUAUUGUGCUUUCCUAUGGAAAAAAGCUUUCAAAUGCUUUUUUAAAUAUAAAUAAAUAUAUUCUUUUAAAUCAUUGUAAUACCAGUGCAAUAAAAGCAUGCCUUUGUCCAUGCAUUGCAUUACUCCAGCCAUUUUUUUUUUUGAGCUUUAAGGAACGUGUUCCUUAGAAACACUUAUUUAAAUUAUUUGAUCCCUUUAUUCACAAAUCCUGCAACAUUUUAUGCUUAACCUGAGAAUAUUGAAAAAUAUUCCGGCUCAAGAUUUGAAUGAGAUCAUCUUUAAGACGCAAACCCCUCAGAAAUGGGUUCAGGAAGUCCUAACCAGAGUUGGAACAUAUUCGAAAUAUGUACUAUAAACACAAACGCAUUUUAACAGACUCUGUAAUUUCGAUUUGAAACAAUUUCUAUCAAUAAAGUGUUUAUUUUAUCCCUACUACUGUGUUAUCUGUUCUCAUAACUCCUUUCAUAUGUGUCAAGUUCCUCAGUAAUUUAAACUGAGGUACCUUCUAUUAUUCAAGCGUUUGAUUUUUUUAUAUGGUACUUGCAAGUAACAUCAGGAGCUAUUUCCACUAAAAAAGUACAUAUUUGCCAUCCAUAAUUAAAAAUUAAGUUUACUAUCUCAAAAUUGCAGACUUGAGAGAAAAUAAUCAAAAUGGAGAAAUAUCUUGAAACUCUAACUUUAUUCCUUUUGAGAAAAUAGCCUGAAAUUUCU